GUCAAAACAACCCCGACAGGUAGAUGUUGGCACAAAGUGGUGGUGGUAGUGGUAGAAACGGUAGCGUGGAGGGCAACAUGAAGCAGGGAGGCAAACCCGGUUUCACCUCCCAGGUUCUCCGGUUGAGAUGAGUCACACUCUGCAAACAUUGUGUUUGAUUUUGCUGUCAGUUCACCUCAGGCGUGGAGGGAGGGAGCAGACACAAACUGUUUGACUGACCUACAUACUGUGUUUAUGUGUCCUGCUGCUGUGCUAGUGGAGGGAGUUUGAAAGGAAACAAUCCCACACACUUAAUAAGCGGUUUUCAAAAAUCCCAUUGUGGAGCUGACGAGCAGAGGAGGAGCACAAGACGGAUAGACACCUUUUGUAUGCCCGCAGCAGUGAAAGCAGUUGGUGAAAGUGUGAAAGCUGCCAGCCUCCAAAAUAAACCACCAGAGGUACGUCUGCGGCUGUCUUACAGUGUGUGCUGA
rnacentral:lncRNA from 15 species